rnacentral:rRNA from 1 species
GGCAGCAGUGGGGAAUCUUCGGCAAUGGGCGAAAGCCUGACCGAGCAACGCCGCGUGAAUGAUGAAGGCCUUCGGGUUGUAAAAUUCUGUUAUAAGGGAAGAACGGCUUUAGUAGGAAAUGGCUAAAGUGUGACGGUACCUUAUGAGAAAGCCACGGCUAACUACGUGCCAGCAGCCGCGGUAAUACGUAGGUGGCAAGCGUUAUCCGGAAUUAUUGGGCGUAAAGAGCGCGCAGGUGGUUGAUUAAGUCUGAUGUGAAAGCCCACGGCUUAACCGUGGAGGGUCAUUGGAAACUGGUCGACUUGAGUGCAGAAGAGGGAAGUGGAAUUCCAUGUGUAGCGGUGAAAUGCGUAGAGAUAUGGAGGAACACCAGUGGCGAAGGCGGCUUCCUGGUCUGUAACUGACACUGAGGCGCGAAAGCGUGGGGAGCAAACAGGAUUAGAUACCCUGGUAGUCCACGCCGUAAACGAUGAGAAUCACUAGU